GACGUAGGGCGCGAGCGUUGUCCGGAUUUAUUGGGCGUAAAGAGCUCGUAGGCGGCUCGUUGCGUCGGCUGUGAAAACCCGCAGCUCAACUGUGGGCUUGCAGCCGAUACGGGCGGGCUGGGAUUCGGUAGGGGAGACUGGAAUUCCUGGUGAGCGGUGAAAUGCGCAGAUAUCAGGAGGAACACCCGUGGCGAAAGCGGCUCUCUGGGACGGUACUGACGCUGAGACGCGAAAGCGUGGGGAGCAAACAGG
rnacentral:rRNA from 1 species